UAGCCUAGUGGUUAAGGCUAUGGAUCGCCAAUUCGGAGACGGCGGGUUCGAUUCCCGU
rfam:Aedes albopictus isolate Foshan contig120027, whole genome shotgun sequence.